GUCACUUCCCAGAAUGGUGUCCUUCCCUUCUAAUGAAUUACAGAUAUAUAUUAUACAGCCAAGGAUCUGGGUUGGAGAGAAUCAGCUGCCUUUCAAAGUGGAAAUUCCAAAGACUCUGGUUGCUGAACUUAAGAUGAGGAAGUUUUGAUGUUUAAAGUUUAAAAGAAGACAUGUUUUAUCAUUAUCUCUACUCUGUGCAAAAUACAUCUCCCAGGCACUUACAUUAUAAGCCAGUAAGAAAUCAUUGCAGGAUGGAGAGUUUGACCUGUGCCUUUUGUUUUAGGACAUUUCAUGCAGUUAUUAUCAAAGGAAGUCUGUGCAACAGAGACGUAUAUGCUCCAUACGAGUCAACCCACUAUGUGCCUCUAAUAAUGUUACAUAUUCAAAUUCCUGCGUUUAUUGCUUUGCUAACAUAGCUUUGCAACUCACUCUUAAAAUUCAACACAGAGGAAAAUGCACAAAGGCCAAAAAGAUCUUGAAUGCGAAAUGACUUUCCUUCGUUCAUCAUGAGUGAACCCAUUUGAAUUAAGAAUUAUCAUUCCUUCGAAAAAUGGAAUUCAUUAUAUUACCUUAUUUUUUAAGAAGUCAAUAAAAACUUAUUCUACAGUAAA